rnacentral:rRNA from 1 species
UACGGGGGGGGCAAGCGUUGUUCGGAAUUACUGGGCGUAAAGGGCUCGUAGGUGGCCAACUAAGUCACACGUGAAAUCCCUCGGCUUAACCGGGGAACUGCGUGUGAUACUGGAUGGCUUGAGUUUGGGAGAGGGAUGCGGAAUUCCAGGUGUAGCGGUGAAAUGCGUAGAUAUCUGGAGGAACACCGGUGGCGAAGGCGGCAUCCUGGACCAAUACUGACGCUGAGGCGCGAAAGCCAGGGGAGCGAACGGG